GUUCUCCCUAGCUAAUUCCCUCUUUUAAUCACAACCAACAUCGUUACCAUCUUCAUUAGAACCAAACCUUCAUUUUCGUCGAAGAAGAACCAGCAGAUGAACUGUUUCUUCUCCAUUUUUGUUUCACUUUUAUGAAGUAAACCCUAGAUUCAGUUUUUUUUUCUUCCUCUUCAAAAUCUCUAACCCGAUUCUAAUCUAAGUUGAUAGAUGGUCACUAUGUUAUAAUCUAGAUUACCCAUAGCAUGUUUUCGUUCUCAAAUCAUCUACGAUUUAUAAAUUUUCGACCUAACAAGGGAAAUUAGAGUUAAUCGAUUGCAAGUGUUUUUCUCUGUUAUUGUGGGUGUUGUUGGCACGAGAUUUCCCCCAAAAAUUCCUUCUCAUUUUUCAGAAGAUUUCUUUAUAAACCCAGUUUGACAGUCAUUAACUCUUUCAGUAUAAUCAAUGCUAAAGAUUCGAUAUUUGCUGUAAAUGAAUGUGACUAGAAGAUGUCAAUGACUACUACCUUGAAAGCUUGGAGGUAAGUGAUGUAUGAUGUGGCUAAUUUUUUGUUUGUGAUGCAGGGGAGAGAUAUGAUAGGUAGAGAAAGAACUGGUACAUGGAGAAAAUCAUGAAAUUUAAUGAGGCACAUGGAACCAGGAUGAGAUGAUCAAGUUAGGAAGGCUCUCUGAAUCCUACAAGUGAAUUGGAGAGUGUUUUGGACGAACAGUCAAGGAGAAAGUGUUUGGAUCAUUGUGGAGAGGAAACACAUCCAAUGUCAUCCGUUACUUCCCUACUCCGGUUGGAUCAUAUGUGUUGUCAAUCGAAAGAGUAAAAGGAGAAAGAUUUCGUCUACUCAAUUUAUGAGGUUUAAUCUCAAUCUCAGUCAAGUUCAAUUUGGAUUAUUUAAUCUUUUCUAUGAUGCUUUUGUGAUACUAUUUAACCUCAGUAGUUGUAGUGAUUUAGUUUUAUAUAUGAAAUCACUCAAAAGAAAUGUUCACUAUUUUGAAAAUUUUACGAUGGGUUUGUCCAAGUAGCUCUGUUAAUCUAUACGGUGACUGUUUAUGACAUCUAAGAUUGUUAACCCCAUAUAAAAAAAUAUGAUAGGUGCUUGUCUCCCAAUCAUUGAUUUGCUAAGAAUCUUAAGAUUAUGUCUAAGUUCAGCACAUGCAUAAGGUUUGACCUUGAUUUCAUAAAUCCUGCUAAGACUAGCAGUGCUUUUGAAACUCAGCUUGUGACAUAUGAGUUUGUGUUCUUAGUACUUUAAAUUAUCAUUUCAAUAGUAAAUGGUUACGUUGUCUGAAUAUGCUUGAAUACUUAUUUCUUCCGGUUGAAAUGUCAAAUUUGUACUCCAUGUAGGAUUGUUUCUGGUUGCCGGUAAAUGCCUAUUCAGUGGUUGCAGUCUUAAUUUGAUUGAUUUUAUUUUAUUGAACUUGUGGGAUAUAAAGUACAAAGUUAACUUUUUAUAUUUUGGAUUUCUAGUAGUCCUGUUAUUAGGGAUGAAUGAUCUUCGAUGUUGAUCAUCAUAAUAAGGACAGUUUCAGUAUGCCUAUAUCAAUAUAAUAAAAUCAAUGGUUUGAUGUAUAAUUGAUGAGUGGAUAAUCAGUGUAGGCUUAGCUGUUACGAAUGGGAUCUUUCUUAAUUUAAAUUUGACUGUUCUACGGUUGAUCAUAGUCUGGGUGUCUGUAUCAUCUUGGUUGGGUAAAUCAUUUUAAUUUGAAUCAUUUAUUGCACUUGCUAACAUUUGUGAAAAUAUAUAUUGUUGCCGUACAUUUCCAAUCAAUCAGUCUCUUAUUCUAAGAUUCUUACUUACGUUACUUUGAGUCGUCUGUCAUUUAACAUCUACUAUGAGAUUAUUAAAAAGAAAGUACAGUUGGUAUAUUGUCUUGUGAAAUGGUUAGUGUCGAUUGUUUGUGACAAUAAAAUAUGAUAAAAUGUAUCUCAUAGGGAUCAAUAAGCCCUAUGUAUGGGUGUCAAUGUCGUGAUCCUGGUUUGAGAGUUCUGUUAUUUCUCUACCAAAAUUGUAAUGGAUUUAUGUCAAAACUUGGCAUGUGCUUGAUAUGCUAGAGGAAUCAAGGAAAUGCGUAGUGAUUUGUCGCAGUGGCGUGUCCAUUUUACAUUCCCCUUAUAGUGUUCGUUAGUGCGCGUCUUUAGUUUGAUGCUCACAUGCUUCUUCACAUGUUCUCAAAAACAAACGAUACAAAGAGAAAUCAAAUAUCCAAACAAUGAAACUUAAUGAACAAGAGGAACCACUUGAAAAUGGAGGUAGAAGAACGGAGAGCAGGGAACCCAGGAAGAGGAGGCUGUUGAGGUCGAUGCUGAUUUUACAAAUGGCGUUGUACUUGUAAACAGUAAUGAAGCUGAAGAAGAGUGGUGUAUGAAUAAUGAAGGAAACUUAUCAUCCUAAAAACUAUUGGUUUGGCUAAAUAGGUAUGUAAGUUCUGAAACUACUUUGAAAUAGGCAAACAAGUAAUUGCUGCUAGUUUUUGUUUUA